rnacentral:rRNA from 1 species
GGAAUCUUGGACAAUGGGGGCAACCCUGAUCCAGCCAUGCCGCGUGAGCGAUGAAGGCCUUAGGGUUGUAAAGCUCUUUCACCGGGGAAGAUAAUGACGGUACCCGGCGAAGAAGCACCGGCUAACUCCGUGCCAGCAGCCGCGGUAAGACGGAGGGUGCUAGCGUUGUUCGGAAUCACUGGGCGUAAAGGGCGCGUAGGCGGCUGUGGCAGUCGGGUGUGAAAGCCCGGAGCUCAACUCCGGAACGGCACUCGAGACGCCACGGCUGGAGGCCGGAAGAGGAGGGUGGAAUACCCAGUGUAGAGGUGAAAUUCGUAGAUAUUGGGUGGAACACCGGUGGCGAAAGCGGCUCUCUGGUCCGGACCUGACGCUGAGGCGCGAAAGCGUGGGGAGCAAAC